rnacentral:rRNA from 1 species
AUGACAUUACCCAAGUCUAUGGGUGGCAUGGGAUUUAGGGAUAUGAGGGCGUUUAACCAAGCCUUGCUUGCUAAGCAAGCUUGGCGCCUAUUGGACAGCCCGGACAACUUGUGUGCUAGAUUGCUACGGGCUAAGUAUUAUCCUCAUGGUAAUUUUCUUGAUACAGUGUUUCCCGCGAGCUCUUCCGCGGUGUGGAGGGGGAUAGUACACGGACUG